rnacentral:rRNA from 1 species
GGAUGAAAAUCGGACUUAGUGAUCCGGUGGUUCUGCGUGGAAGGGCCAUCGCUCAACGGAUAAAAGCUACCCUGGGGAUAACAGGCUUAUCUCCCCCAAGAGUCCACAUCGACGGGGAGGUUUGGCACCUCGAUGUCGGCUCAUCACAUCCUGGGGCUGUAGUAGGUCCCAAGGGUUGGGCUGUUCGCCCAUUAAAGUGGUACGCGAGCUGGGUUCAGAACGUCGUGAGACAGUUCGGUCCCUAUCCGUCGCAGGCGUAGGAAAUUUGAGAAGACCUGUCCUUAGUACGAGAGGACCGGGAUGGACGUACCUCUGGUGUACCAGUUGUCCUGCCAAGGGCAUGGCUGGGUAGCUAUGUACGGAAUGGAUAAGCGCUGAAAGCAUCUAAGCGCGAAGCCAACUUCAAGAUAAGAUUUCCCACCGCAAGGGUAAGACCCCAGAAAGACUAUCUGGUUGAUAGGUCGAAGGUGUAAGUGCAGUAAUGUAUUUAGCUUAUCGAUACUAAUAGGUCGAGGACUUGACCAAU